GACGAACGCUGGCGGCGUGCUUAACACAUGCAAGUCGAGCGGAAAGGCCCUUCGGGGUACUCGAGCGGCGAACGGGUGAGUAACACGUGAGCAACCUGCCCCUGGCUCUGGGAUAGCUCCGGGAAACCGGGAUUAAUACCGGACAUGACCUGCUGCGGCAUCGCGGCGGGUGGAAAGUUUUUCGGCCAGGGAUGGGCUCG
rnacentral:rRNA from 1 species